GAUGAACGCUGGCGGCGUGCCUAAUACAUGCAAGUCGAGCGAACAGAUGAGGAGCUUGCUCCUCUGACGUUAGCGGCGGACGGGUGAGUAACACGUGGAUAACCUACCUAUAAGACUGGGAUAACUUCGGGAAACCGGAGCUAAUACCGGAUAAUAUAUUGAACCGCAUGGUUCAAUAGUGAAAGACGGUUUUGCUGUCACUUAUAGAUGGAUCCGCGCCGCAUUAGCGAGUUGGUAAGGUAACGGCUUACCAAGGCAACGAUGCGUAGCCGACCUGAGAGGGUGAGCGGCCACGCGGGAACGGAGACAGGGUGCAGACGCCGACGGGAGGCAGCGGUGGGGAGGCGGGCGGAAUGGGCGAAAGCGGGACGGAGGAACGGGGCGUGAGUGAGGAGGGGGGGCGGAGCGGGAAGCGGGGUUAUGAGGGAAGAAGAAAGGUGUAAGUAGCGAGGCGCGUGUGGACGGUAGCUGAGCAGAAAGCGACGGCUAACUACGUG
rnacentral:rRNA from 1 species